rnacentral:lncRNA from 1 species
GCUUGCGGCGGCGGUUUGCCUCGGGUUGGCCGUUUUCGGCCGAAUUCGGCCACACUCCUAUUGGUUCCUGCGAUAAAACAACCCUACGGCCCUCGGGGGGCCGAAAAUUUACGAAAAACCGAAGCUUACCGGCGGCGGUGCUCUCGGGUGCGGCGGCUCUCCGGUGAAGUUCGUGUUUUGGUGAUUCGGCUCCGAUCAACCUGUAGAGAAAAGAAUGGUGAUCACGGUGAUAUAAAAAUUGCAUUAAACGGAGGCCGGGAAGGGCCUCAUCGGAGGCAAAAACCGAGAAGGGGCGCGGCGGCGCCGCUGGCUUUCGGCCGUGUUUUCCGGCCGUUUGGCCGGGAUUUUGGCUCCGAUUUGGC